GAUGAACGCUGGCGGCGUGCUUAACACAUGCAAGUCGAACGGAUUGGCGAACGGGUGAGUAACACGUGGGUGACCUGCCCUGCACUUCGGGAUAAGCCUGGGAAACUGGGUCUAAUACCGGAUAGUGUGGGAUGGUCUCGCGGCCUAUGAGCUUGUUGGUGGGGUAAUGGACUACCAAGGCGGCGACGGAUAGCCGGCCUGAGCGGGUGGACCGCCACAUUGGGACUGAGAGACGGCCCAGACUCCGACGGGAGGCAGGAGUGGGGAAUAUUGCACAAUGGGCGGAAGCCUGAUGCAGCGACGCCGCGUGGGGAAUGACGGCCUUCGGGUUGUAAACUCCUUUCACCAUCGACGCGGUAGAUGGAGAAGAAGCACCGGCUAACUACGUGCCAGCCGCCGCGGUAAUUC
rnacentral:rRNA from 1 species